rnacentral:rRNA from 1 species
AACACAUGCAUGUCGAGCGGAUGAAGGGAGCUUGCUCCCGGAUUCAGCGGCGGACGGGUGAGUAAUGCCUAGGAAUCUGCCUGGUAGUGGGGGACAACGUUUCGAAAGGAACGCUAAUACCGCAUACGUCCUACGGGAGAAAGCAGGGGACCUUCGGGCCUUGCGCUAUCAGAUGAGCCUAGGUCGGAUUAGCUAGUUGGUGAGGUAAUGGCUCACCAAGGCGACGAUCCGUAACUGGUCUGAGAGGAUGAUCAGUCACACUGGAACUGAGACACGGUCCAGACUCCUACGGGAGGCAGCAGUGGGGAAUAUUGGACAAUGGGCGAAAGCCUGAUCCAGCCAUGCCGCGUGUGUGAAGAAGGUCUUCGGAUUGUAAAGCACUUUAAGUUGGGAGGAAGGGUUGUAGAUUAAUACUCUGCAAUUUUGACGUUACC